CCCUCGGGGCCCAACCUCCCACCCGUGUAUACCGUACCUUGUUGCUUCGGCGGGCCCGCCGCGCAAGCGGCCGCCGGGGGGGCGUCAAACCCCCCUCCCUAGGCGAGCGCCCGCCGGAGACACCAACGUGAACACUGUCUGAAGUUUUGUUGUCUGAGUUCGAUUGUAUCGCAAUCAGUUAAAACUUUCAACAAUGGAUCUCUUGGUUCCGGCAUCGAUGAAGAACGCAGCGAAAUGCGAUAAUUAAUGUGAAUUGCAGAAUUCAGUGAAUCAUCGAGUCUUUGAACGCACAUUGCACCCCCUGGUAUUCCGGGGGGUAUGCCUGUCCGAGCGUCAUUGCUGCCCUCAAGCACGGCUUGUGUGUUGGGUCGUCGUCCCCCCUCCCGGGGGGGACGGGCCCGAAAGGCAGCGGCGGCACCGCGUCCGGUCCUCGAGCGUAUGGGGCUUUGUCACCCGCUCUUGUAGGCCCGGCCGGCGCUGGCCGACGCUGAAAAGCAACCAACUAUUUCUCCAGGUUGACCUCGGAUCAGGUAG
rnacentral:misc_RNA from 1 species